AUACGGAGGGGGCUAGCGUUGUUCGGAAUUACUGGGCGUAAAGCGCACGUAGGCGGAUUAAAAAGUUAGAGGUGAAAUCCCAGGGCUUAACCCUGGAACUGCCUUUAAAACUAGUAGUCUAGAGUUCGAGAGAGGUGAGUGGAAUUCCAAGUGUAGGGGUGAAAUUCGUAGAUAUUUGGAGGAACACCAGUGGCGAAGGCGGCUCACUGGCUCGAUACUGACGCUGAGGUGCGAAAGCGUGGGGAGCAAACAGGAUUAGAAACCCCAGUAGUCC
rnacentral:rRNA from 1 species